AGAUUGAGAGUGAUCUAGUUAGGAAUUGUGUCACCCCACUGCCAAAUAGCCAAGGUUGCUCUGACUUGAGCUGGUAGGCGUGAUGGAAGUCUUCUUCCUCCCUCCCUACUCCAUGUGCAGCCCCUCCCCAACAGCAUGGUCGGGCAGAGAGGACCACCUUUCCUGCGUAGAGGUGGGCUGUUCUUUGGCCUAGUGUAUGACUGUC
rnacentral:snRNA from 1 species